GCGUAUGAACAAAUCACAUGGAAUGCACCCCAUCUCAUCUGGGUCUCAGAAUCUAAGCAGGGUUGGGCCUGGAUAGUGCUUGGGAGGGUGACCACCAGGGACACAAGUGGCUGUCAUCGACC
rnacentral:rRNA from 1 species